rnacentral:rRNA from 1 species
CCUACGGGGGGCAGCAGUGGGGAAUAUUGGGCAAUGGAGGCAACUCUGACCCAGCAACGCCGCGUGAAUGAUGAAGGGCUUCGGAUUGUAAAGUUCUGUGAUGGGGGAUGAACACAAUGACGGUACCCCAAUAGCAAGCCACGGCUAACUACGUGCCAGCCGCCGCGGUAAUACGUAGGUGGCAAGCGUUAUCCGGAAUGACUGGGCGUAAAGGGUGCGUAGGUGGUUUAGUAAGUUGGCGGUGUAAUUCCGGGGCUCAACCUCGGCGCUACCGCCAAAACUAGUAGACUAGAGUGCAGGGGGGGUAAGUGGAAUUCCUAGUGUAGCGGUGGAAUGCGUAGAUAUUAGGAGGAACACCAGUGGCGAAGGCGACUUACUGGACUGUAACUGACGCUGAGGCACGAAAGCGUGGGGAGCAAACAGGAUUAGAUAACCGUGUAGUC